UAAUGGCGCAAUUAUACACAUAAAAACUAUUUCGUAUUUAAUUCAGCAUCUCCUCUUACAUUCAGAAGCGGGAUAAAGUUAAGUACACGCCUAGUUAUAAUUUUUAAUCAAAUUUAUAGAUAAUUAAAAUUGGUCAGAUUUCUUUGUAAAGCAAGCUUCAUGUUGAUUAUUUUGUAAUAGGCACCAAAUUUGUAACCGUGUUUAUUUUUAGUAAAGGAUAAAAAAAAAACGUGUUAGACUUAAAGACUAAGGUAAUGUAACGCAAUAUUUUUCUGCGAGAUUUCAGAACAAUGGAUGAACCGCCUGGUAACAAAAGUCGGGACCUGUAUCGACCGAGGCUCCUGACUCCUGGCACCAAGGUGACACGCAGUGUCACCUGAAGUCCAGGCUGCGAUCAGCCAGGUCGUGAGCGCAUCCUUUUACUGGAAAGGGAGUUUCAACGCGAGCAAGAACGGCUCGCGCUCGCUUUGCAAGAACUUCGCCCCACGCCGAUGCGAUUGCCGGGGUGAGCAGCAUGCUGAGCGUCGGCCUGAGCCGCAUGCGGAUCGUCGGGGCGGGCUGCAUGCUGGGCGUCGGCCUGAGUCACGUGCGGAUCGCCGGGCUGGGCUGCGUGCGGAGCGUCGGCCUGGGCUGCGUGCUGGGCAUCGGCCUAAACUGCAUGCGGAGCGGCACGCGCAGCGGCAGGGCGGCGCGGGACGGUUAAGGUGAUGAUGGCCGAUUGUUACAAUUGCCGUGCAGAGAUCGCUGAUGGCUGUAUAGCUAUGGUGUGCUGUGCCGAUGAUAAAAGCUGAGCUGUGCUGUGCUGAUAGAAUUUAAGCUGAGCUGAGCUGUUAUUUAUUAUUACGCAAUUAUUUUAUUUAACAAUCAAAAUAAUACUCCUUGGUGGAAUUUAGUUGGUAUAAUCUAGCAAGGAGGCUCAAUAUUAAAUUGAUACAGGCAUAAUAGAAACUUGUUACGUUCGGUACAUUUUUUAGUCUGUGGUUUUAAAAAGAAAAGGGUGAAUUCUUUGUUGUUAGUUUUUGAUGGCGGCAAUUGUAAAACUUGUUAAAUAAAUAAUGGCGCAAUUAUACACAUAAAAACUA